rnacentral:rRNA from 1 species
UACGUAGGGCGCAAGCGUUGUCCGGAAUUACUGGGCGUAAAGAGCUCGUAGGUGGUUUGUCGCGUUGUUCGUGAAAACUCACAGCUUAACUGUGGGCGUGCGGGCGAUACGGGGCAGACUGGAGUACUGCAGGGGAGACUGGAAUUCCUGGUGUAGCGGUGGAAUGCGCAGAUAUCAGGAGGAACACCGGUGGCGAAGGCGGGUCUCUGGGGCAAACAACU